GCUAAUUUUUUUAACCUUAUUUCUUAAAUGUUCUUGAUUCUGAAAUAAUUUGAUGGGUCACUUACUCAAAGAGUGUACAGUAUAAGUUUAUUGUUUUGUGGGCUUGGAUUUGUAUUCCCAGCCUUGCCAGUUAGCAGCUGGGUGACAUUGGAAAAUUAAUGCCUCUAAGCCUGUUUCCUCUUCUCUAAAAUGAGACCGCGGGAUGAUCAGCUGCAAUAACAUAUAGUGCCUGGUAUAUUGCUGAGAUUCAACAAGCAGUGCCAGCUGUGUGGUUCUCAUUAUGUGCAUCAACCUCUAUUAAUAGUACAGAUUAUGUGAAAGAACAUGAAGGCAUGCAUAUAAAUUCCUAUUGGCUGUAACCUGUUAAAUUUACCUAGUAUUUCAAAAAUACACUUGAAAAAUAUUCAAUCAGUAUAUGAACUUAGUUUAAAAAUUGAAAAGAUCAGUGGUUUUUUGUUUGUUUGUUUGUUUGUUUACCAUUUGUCUUCUGGGAUUAAGCAGGCUUGGUUUAGGUGAUAUGUUGUCAAAGAUUAUCUUUUUCAUUAAUAUGACUCAAGAAGUUCCUUGUGCUUUAUUGUCUUUUAAAAGUUGAUGACUAUAAAGUGAGGGCCAGAUCUAGCCUUUUGCUUGUUUUCAUCUGUCUCAUGGGCCGGUGCUGUUUUGUGCUGUGGCUGUGUGACUGGCACAGUCACUGGAUGUGACAGAAUUCUACACAUUGGGACCCUUGCCACUGCACAAUAGAAUUUGACACUUCUCAACUUAUCUGCCCAUGGUAGAGAAGCUGAUGAAGCCUAUCAGAAUAGAUUCCUUUAGGGUUGAUGGUUUUGAUUUACAACCUGUCAGACAAGUUUUUGAGCCCCUCCUUGAACCCCAAGCUCAUCAUGAAAUCCACAUGCAGUGAUUUCCUGGCCUUGUUUGUAUUGAGUGUGCUAGUUGAAAGUGAUGUGCUGUAGCUUACCCUAAACCCUGUCUACUUACCACUAAGUCUAGCAUUCUUCCCCGAUCUGUGGUGCUAGUUAGUGUUUUUAUGGGGCUGAUUGGGCUCCCUUAUCACUGCUGUUUGGGGCUGGCUAUACUUGUAUCAUUGAAGGGAUUUUUCUACACAUUUUGUGUCUUUGUUGGCAUAACUGACACAAUUUUAAUAAUGUGAAUUCUAAAUAGAGAUGUUUACAUUUGUGUUUAAAAGCUGAAAACAAGUAUACUUACAUUAAAAGUAUAGCAAUAAUUAUAGGAAUGUCAGUAGUAGAAAGUUGAGUAUACAUAUCCAAAACCUCUUUAGUAAACCAUAGGAUAAGUAAUCCUAACUGCUGCAACAAAUAAUCCUUAAAUUUUUAGUAGUUUAACAUCAUCAAUUACUUAUGUCUUGCUCACAUCAUAAUUCCAAGUGUCUCUGGAGUUGGGGGUGGGACUCUGCUCCACAUAGUCAUUUAGGGACCCAGGUGACUUUCUGUCUUCAGCACAUGGUUUUGAGGUCCUCCUGGACUCAUCAGUCAAUAAGGAAAGGAAAUAGAUGGUUAGCACGCUUCCUUUUAACUGCCUAAUCACAGGAGUGUUACCUCCCUUCAGCCCACAUUGUGUUGGUAAGAACCAGCACAUCCAGCUAAACUAGGUUCAAGAGGGCUAGGAAGUGUGGUUUGCUCAUAUGCCCAGAAAGAAAUGUAAACACAUUUGGUAGGUGUCUAGCCAGUCUCUACCAGAAACUUCCCUUCUAACAGCCAAAUAUCCAUUCCACUCUUCAUUGAACAAAGACCUACUCAGCCCCUCCCCAAAGCAAACAACCCAGAGUCCCAUUCAGAAAGGUAUCCACCUGGAAGGCCAGGAUUUCCAGCUGAAGCACAGUUCUCUUUGUCAGGUUUCAGUGUAGCUCCUCAUUGUCUACUAAUCAGUGAGUUAAAAGGUAAGUUUUGUCCUUCCUUCCCCAUCCCAAUAUGGUGGUGAGACUAAGACUACUCCUGUUCAGAAAGGAGAAGAAUGAGGAAGCUACAGCAAUCAGCAGUGCAGCUUUGAGAUCCACUGAAAGGCCUUAUGAAGACCCCCUACCUUCAAGUUGGGCAUUUCUCCCUUAAUUAGGCCAUUAUUCUGCUCUUAAGGAGGAACUACUUAAUAAAUGUAUUGUUCCGUGUAGCUCCUGGUUCCAGUGGUCUUGUGUUUCUUCACCACUGGCUUCAAGUGAAGUGGGUAACGGGAGGAGGGGGCACCCAUCUUUGAGAAUGCACUCUUUUCUCCGCCUGCUUUCUGCCUGCAGGUAGGUGGUUCUGAGGCUGCCAGACAAGUCUCUAGCCUUUUUUUUUUAAGCAGAGUUGUGGUUUCUUUGUCAUCUUUGUCAUUACAGCUCCUUCAGAAAGUUUUUUAGGCUUCUGAUCAAUUUGGUUCCAGUCAGUCCCAUGUGCUAGUAACUACAUUUAAAGAAAAUUAGGGUUUUUUUUUUCUCAGUUUAGUUGCAGCUGUCUGGUUAUUAUGAGGAGCAAUAAUCUUGUUUGAAGAUGGCACCUCUAAUGUGAUAUUUGCCAAGGAACUGAAUCACUCUUCAACAAAGAAUUCUCAUGAAAUCUUGCUUUUUCACAGCAUUUUUCAGUGCUGAAUCUUACUGUUUGAGUCCAGAUGCAGAGAGUGAACCUAAGAGGCUCUGAGUUUCUCGACUCUGUUCCCUUGGAUUCCUUCUUUAAAGACCAGCCCAUUCUGUCUUGAGCUCAUCUUUUUCCCGUAGUAUCUUGUCAGCAAUAGCCAGUAGUAGCUGGCACUUAAACACUUCCUGUCCUCUCCUGCCAUUCUCAGACUCUGCUGAGGGCACCAGGCUCAAGAGCCACAGAAAUGAUUUCAUUUAAAAAUCCUAGUGAUUUUAAGAUUUUCCUAUACCAUGAUGAAAUUCAUGCAUUUUAAUAUUUAUAUUCUAUGCUUGAUUGAUAUAAAUUAUGGUUGCUUCUGUAGUUUCUACUGGAAAUGUAUGAAAUGUUUUUCCUGCCUCAAGUGUAUGUUGAUGUUAUAAUAUGGAUAACAGAUACUACAAAAGGACCAUUUAGAAAUUCAUUUUUUAUUUUUCUUCAACAAAAGCGAUCUGUCUUGUUUGGUUUGGCUUUACUAUGAAGUAGUUCUUUGAGUAAACCACGAAAUCCCUUAUAUUAUACUGUAUUAAAAUUCUUAUCUGAAAUUUAAAACAAUUAUGUGACACCAUGUGAGUAUACUCUGUUAAACAGAAUUGUAAUAUGUUUAACAUUAAUGACCUAAUUUAAGAGUUACAUGUAUUAAAUAUAUUUAAUAGUAUUAUAUGUUAAUAAUAUAAAUGUUUCAAUGUAUAUCAUGUAUAUACAUAUAUAUUAAUAAAACUAAUAUU